rnacentral:rRNA from 1 species
GAUGAACGCUGGCGGCGUGCUUAACACAUGCAAGUCGAACGAAGCACUUUAUUUGAUUUCCUUCGGGACUGAUUAUUUUGUGACUGAGUGGCGGACGGGUGAGUAACGCGUGGGUAACCUGCCUUGUACAGGGGGAUAACAGUUGGAAACGGCUGCUAAUACCGCAUAAGCGCACAGCAUCGCAUGAUGCAGUGUGAAAAACUCCGGUGGUAUAAGAUGGACCCGCGUUGGAUUAGCUAGUUGGUGAGGUAACGGCCCACCAAGGCGACGAUCCAUAGCCGAACUGAGAGGGUGACCGGCAACAUUGGGACUGAGACACGGCCCAAACUCCUACGGGAGGCAGCAGUGGGGAAUAUUGCACAAUGGGCGAAAGCCUGAUGCAGCGACGCCGCGUGAGCGAAGAAGUAUUUCGGUAUGUAAAGCUCUAUCAGCAGGGAAGAUAAUGACGGUACCUGACUAAGAAGCACCGGCUAAAUACGUG